AUGUUCCCACCAUGCGAGGCAAUGGGCGUGGGAGGCGACGAUAGCCCUCGCGACAGACAUCGGCGUGACGGAGUCGCACUACUCGACGCUGCAGCGGUUCAUCCUCUUCCUCUCCCCACUGUACUGGAGAAAACACCUGGUGAAGGCGAUUCAAGCUGGGCUCCAUCUUCGCGGUGGAUCAUGCUGCAGCUUCACGGGGGAGCGGAUCACGCUGCAGCUCGAAGGCACUGCGGCUUCAACUGCAUCUCGGCGGCCCGGCAGCUCGAAGGCGCAGCACCGCAGCUGCUCCAUCUGCAUCUGGGCAGCCUGGCAGCUCCCGCUACAGCUCGGAGCUGCGGAAUCUGCAGAUGGCGCCGCUCGUAUCGGUGA
rnacentral:rRNA from 1 species